CCCUCAAAACCACCCUGUGUGUGUCCAAUCUGAUCUGAUCUCAGAAGCUAAGAAGGGUUGGUCCUGGUCAGUACUUGGAUGGGAGACCCCCCCCCAAGGAACACUGGGUGCUAUAGUGG
rnacentral:rRNA from 1 species